rnacentral:rRNA from 1 species
CUACGGGCGGCUCCAGUGAGGAAUAUUGCGCAAUGGAGGAAACUCUGACGCAGCCAUGCCGCGUGUAUGAAGAAGGCCCUAGGGUUGUAAAGUACUUUCAGAUGCGAAGAUUAUGACGGUAACAUCAGAAGAAGCUCCGGCUAAAUUCGUGCCAGCAGCCGCGGUAAUACGAAUGGAGCAAGCGUUGUUCGGAAUCACUGGGCUUAAAGCGUGCGCAGGCGGCCAUGCAAGUCAGAAGUGAAAUCCCGGGGCUCAACCCCGGAACUGCUUUUGAAACUGCACGGCUAGAAUCCUGGAGAGGUCGGGAGAAUUCCUAGUGUAGAGGUGAAAUUCGCAGAUAUUAGGAGGAAUACCAGUGGCGUAGGCGCCCGACUGGACAGGUAUUGACGCUCAGGCACGAAAGCGUGGGGAGCAAACAGGAUUAGAUACCCGAGUAGUC